ensembl:lncRNA
UGCUUCAUACACCAUUCCUGGCCUGAAGGGUCUGUUCUUCCAGAAAUCAUAUUCUCAUUUAGAUAAUAAAGGGUUUUUCUUUCAUUAUCCCAUCUUUACUCCCCGUGGCCAGCUCUGCACAUGGCCUCUUUUGCCUUCCAUACAUGUGCACUGGUUUGUCAGCGUUCCAGCAUCCUCGGUGGUCUGGGUCCCUCCAUUUGUCCAUUUGCUCUGUUUCUAGGUGCUGAUUUGUUUUCCUAUUAAUCUCCCUCCCUCCCUUGCUGCAACUCUCCCAAGACAGACCACAGCCAAUAUGUUUCAUGUAUCACAUGCUGCAUAAUAACACAAGGGAAAGGGACUCCACGCCUGUAACCCAGUUCUAAGAGCUAUUUCCAGGGGUGGCAGGUGCUGGCGGGGCUCCAGCCAUGUGCUCUCAUGCUGACUUAGCUGCUCUCCCUCCAAACUGCCCCCUGGGGCACAUGUCCCUCCGCACGUCCCACCCCAGUUGCUGCAAGGACCAUGUUCCUGUUAGGACAGAGCCUCCUACUAGUCCCCUUUUUGGCCCUCAGCACACACAGGCUGCUGCAUGCCAGUGCUCCCACCACAACAUUUUGCUUUCUCUGGAGGUGCAGAGGAUGGAGACUUCCAGUGUUGCCAAGUGCAGAGGUAGCACCAUGGGUUUCUUUCCAGUCAGCAGGGUUGAGCUGCAGAAAAAAAAAAGGGCUUGAUAUUCUCCACCACUCAGCCACACAGGUAGACUUGUGCCCUGCAUACCUGCAUGGGAAUAGUCCUGCUUCUAAAACUCCAUCACAUAGGAAGGUUUCAUCUGUAGUGCCUCAAACACUUCCAGAGGGUCAUUUCUCAUGGACUGGGACUUAUCCCCUGGGGUCAAUGGAGACGCAGUAGGAGAGGUCCUUAUGGUGUCACGCAGCAAGGUGGGACCUAUCCCCAGCAACCAGCAGCCUGCAUGCCAUCCUUUCAGUAUCCCAGUCCCAAAGCCUGGCAGGACAUUUUGGGAAGUGGUGUUGCAUAGCUGGCUCUUUUAUCAGGGAAAAUCAGCAUAUGGAGUUGCUGGUAAUCAUUUCUCUAUCAUCAUGCCACAGCUGCUUGUCCCUGCCAUGUGCUGACACAGUUACUCGUGCUAAAGAUUGAGCUGUGGAGGUAAAUAUAACCCAGACCAAUAACUCUGUCUGCUCUCUGUUGCAACCCACACUCAGGUGAACGGGGGCAGUGGAGGGAUGUUGAGGUGUGAGAGGAAGGAGGGGAAUUAAUACAGUCACCUCUGUCACAUGC